CAGUCGCCCGGUAAUACGGAGGGUGCAAGCGUUAAUCGGAAUUACUGGGCGUAAAGCGCACGCAGGCGGUUUGUUAAGUCAGAUGUGAAAUCCCCGAGCUUAACUUGGGAACUGCAUUUGAAACUGGCAAGCUAGAGUCUUGUAGAGGGGGGUAGAAUUCCAGGUGUAGCGGUGAAAUGCGUAGAGAUCUGGAGGAAUACCGGUGGCGAAGGCGGCCCCCUGGACAAAGACUGACGCUCAGGUGCGAAAGCGUGGGGAGCAAACAGGAUUAGAUACCCGCGUAGUCCCUGUCUCUUAUACC
rnacentral:rRNA from 1 species